GAUCACUGCUAUUGGGGUCCGACUAAGCCAUGCGAGUCGAGAGGGUUCGGCCCUCGGCAAACGGCUCAGUAACACGUGGGUAAUCUGCCCUCAGGACAGGGAUAACCCCGGAAAACUGGGGAUAAUACCUGACAGGUGGGUAUGUCUGGAAUGACUUUCCGCUCAAAUGCUCCGGCGCCUGAGGAUGGGCCUGCGACCGAUUAGGUUGUUGGCGGUGUAAUGGACCACCAAGCCUGCGAUCGGUACGGGCGUUGAGAGACGUAGCCCGGAGAUGGGGACUGAGACACGGCCCCAGGCCCUACGGGGCGCAGCAGGCGCGAAAACUCCGCAAUACACGAAAGUGUGACGGGGGGACCCCAAGUGCUCUCACGUAAGUGAGUGCUUUUUUGAAGUGUAAAUAGCUUCAAGAAUAAGAGCUGGGUAAGACCGGUGCCAGCCGCCGCGGUAACACCGGCAGCUCGAGUGGUGAUCACUAUUAUUGGGCCUAAAGCGUCCGUAGCCGGUUUGGUAAGUCCUUGGGCAAAUCCUACCGCUUAACGGUAGGAAUUCUGGGGAUACUGCCAGACUUGAGGCCGAGAGAGGUCGGAGGUACUUCUGGGGUAGCGGUGAAA
rnacentral:rRNA from 1 species